GAUGAACGCUGGCGGCGUGCCUAACACAUGCAAGUCGAACGAUGAAACAGAGAGACGCGAACUUUGGUGCUAACGUCAGUCGGGAGUGGUGGCAGACGGGUGAGUAACGCGUGAGCAAGGUACCUCUCAGAAAGGGAUAGCCUCUGGAAACCGAUAUUAAUAACAUAUGACACAUUCAUAAGGCAUCUUAAUAAUGGUAAAGCUACGGCGGUAAGGGAUGGGCUCGGGUCCCUUGUGAUGGCUGGGGAGGUAACGGCAUACCAAGGCGACGAUGCGUAACGGCCCUGAAAGGGUGAUCGGCCACACUGGAACUGAGACACGGUCCAGACUCCGACGGGAGGCAGCAGUCGGGAAUCUUACGCAAUGGGGGAAAGCCUGAUAGAGCAAAACCGAGUGAGUGAUGAAGGACUUCGGAUGGUAAAGCGCUGUUGUUAGGCAAGAACAAAAGCUCAAUUAUAUAUGAAGGUCAUGACGGUACCAAAGGAGAAAGCCCCGGCUAACUACGUG
rnacentral:rRNA from 1 species